ACAACAUAACAAAACAGGUGUAUAUCUUGCAUUAAAAAUACUUAUGCGACCAACCAUUACAGAGAGGAAUGUUGUACUAUUUAUAUGGCUAGUAAUUGAAAUAGCAUAUUGAAUGGAGGUUACUGGAAGGAAGAGUAUUUCACAAACAAAUAGAAUGUUCUGUAAACCUUGCGAAGAUGACAAAAAAGCAUGUACCAGCGAACGGUUUAUGUCGCGAAUGUGAGGAACAUAUGUGUAUAGCGUGUAUAGCGUGUUUCGGGAACCAUAAAAAGUACAAAAUAUGUUAAAACUAUACCACAGUAUGGUUGAUAUUGAUUCAAAUAUUACGGAUUUAAGUGAUAAAAAAGAAGAUAAUUUCGAAAAUUGUCCGGAGCACACAAAUGAAAAGAUAAAGUUUUAUUGUUCAUCUCACGAAAAUGUAGGAUGUGGUGACUGUAUGAUAUAGAACAUAAAACGUGUAAAGUGGAAUAUGUACGUGAUAUUUUAAAAGCGUUUAAAGAAAGCAAGGAAUUAACGACAUUGUCAAACAUGUUAAUUCCUGCCAGAAAGCAGUACAAAAAUGCUCCACAUCAUUCAAUGAUAAUGAACUACAAAUUGAAGAUGUAUAUCACGGAAUUCUAGCCGACAUUAAAUCAUUUCGAGAUUAAAUACAUCCCGUUUAGACAAACUGGAAAAAGAAUUUGUUGAAAAAGCAAACAAUGCAAAAAACAACCAAUAAACUUCAUAUUGAAUCACUUGAAACACCACGCGAAGAUUUGGAAAAAAAGCUAUCACAAAUAAGUGAUAAUAUUUUGUCUAAAAGUGAAGAACCAUACACAUUAUUUGUCACUGCAAUGCAGUGUAACCUUGCGCUAAAGGAAAUCGAGCAAAAGCUCUGUAGUAUCAUGUCGAAUAACAUAAUUAACAGUUAUAGUUUCAAAAGAAAUUGUAAAAUUGAAGAGCUGUUAGAUCAGGCUGAACUUGGAACAUACAAUGCACGAAGAUAACACACCAGGACCGGACUCACAAAGUAACACUGCAAAACUGGAAACCAGCCGAACAAUAUACGGAGAAAACGCCUUAAGACAAUGCUAUGAUAAACUUACUUCUAUUCAAGCAAAGCCGGACACUAGACGGACACCAGUCAGACAAUAUACGGAGAGAACACUUCAAGACUGGAUUUACAAAGUAAAAGUGAUAACGAAGAGCUAAUUUAUGAAGAGCUUCUAGAAUCAAAUAUUUCAUGCACGAGAGAUUCGUCUAGGCAUUAGAACUGGUACUUUUUUGAAAAUCAACUCAGAUGUGAAAACCUUCUAAUGGCUGGAGAAUACCUCAGGUAAGAAAGGAGCAACUUGAAAUCGUAUCUAGCAAAUCAAAAUCUCAGGUACAUAUUUUGAAGAUGAAUUAAUAAGUAGCGACAACAAACUUUAAGGCAAUAUUGGUCAAUAUCUUAUUCUCUUUCAUUUUGAUAUUCUUGAUAAUAAUCUGUAACUGUAUUUCAUUAUUUUUAUGGUGCAUAAUCAAACAUUUACAACAUAACUAAAUUCCGACGCGUCUGGCGGACACUUUUUAACAUAAAAAGACUAGUGAUUUAAUUUUCUUUGAAGAACUGCACACGUCGUAUACAUCGGAAAUUUCUUGACUCUGUAUAUCUAACCAUUGUGGUACAAAGAAAACACUUAAUAUUACUUAUGAAAACCCCAAUAACUUAAUUUAUAUGAACUAGCUUAUCUGGUUGAAGAUUAUAGUGUUUCUUUUAUUUAUACAUUUUAAUGUUAUUUUCUUAUGUAACUGUUGGCUUCAUACCAAAAGACUUUUCAUUGAAUGCACAGCCUGGUGUUGGGAGAUUCUCGGUUGGAUAUCAUGCUAAAGACAGUUGGUAGGCGCAUUAGAGAUAAAUAUCCCGUCAUUAUGCAGAGUGUACCCUGCAGUGGGCUCGCAGUUUUCCAGUGAUAAAGCAAAACUAAUUCUAGAUGCCCAAGAACCAUAGGAAAUGCUACGUGAUUUAAGUUGUACAUAGUGUAACCGAAUUCACGAAUCAGACAUACAUUAAGGUCCGUAGAAAGUUAUGUGCCAUAAACAUGUUUGCAUAUAGUGCAAACAAAUCAACUGGGUGAUAUUAUCAGAAACAUGAACUACAGUAUUCGCCUACAUACUUUCUCAUACAUGAUCUUCGGGCAUAUUUUAUUUACUCUUUUUAAAAGGCUUUAUCGAUUAACCUGCAUUUCCACAACUUUAGAAUAUUAGACAUUUUGAAAGUAAAUUGUCCAUAAGAAAUGAUUGUGUUCACGAUGCUUUGUUGUCGUAAUACUUUUUUGUACCUUACACGCUUGUCUGUGUAUGAAAGGGCGUUGAAGUUUGUACAGGAUUGUUCUUUUACAUCUUUGCAAAAUGUGGGUCAUGUAAAUAUUAAUAUUGUAUUUGGUAAAGUUUUGAAUAGAAAGUUAUGAAUUUAUCGGAUGUGGUAAUGGCCCGAAUGGUUUGAGACACGCAGCAUAUUUGGUGAUCAACUCGUUUGCUGUUGAACGCUACACUUUCGUCAUUAAUUGUGUCUGACUGAACAGAAAACAGGCCCUAUUAUAUGCAGUUCUUGAUGCCUACUGGGACCUAACUGCUUCUAUAUCUGUCUUCCAACUUAGGGUCCUUAAUGCUGUUCCUCUUGGCGUUCAGUCUUCUGCAAAAGUAUUAAUAGACAAUUUUCCUUUCAUCUUUGCGUUGACAAAAAACAUGGUCACAUUCAUGUCGAGAUAAAAUCUGUGCUGACAUGUA
rnacentral:lncRNA from 1 species